UGGGAGAGGAGGCUGAGCCAGAAAAAAGACUGGAAAGGAGCCACUGAGAGAUAGGAGAAAACCCAGGAGAAGGUUACAUCACCCCAGCAAAGGGAAGGAGAUCCUGGCUCACAGUGUGCAAUCCUGCCGAAAGGUCAAGUGAGGUGAAGACUGAAAAUAGCCAUUCGUUUUAGCAACAUAGAAGUCACUGGUGAUCAUAACAAAAGUGACUUCAGAGGAGUGUUCAGAGCAGAAUCCACAUGGAGAACAGUGGGAGGAGCGAGAGCUGAGGAAGCCGAGCUGGUGGAGAUAACUUUUCAAGAGAGUUUGGCUCUGAAGGGGGAGAGUGAGCUGGGACAAGCUGCUGUAACAAAGUCCCACAAACUGGGUGGCCUAAAACAACAGAAAUGUAUCCUGUCACUGUUGUGGAGGCUGGAAUUCUGAAAUCAAGAUGUCAGCGGAACCAUGCUCCCUCUGAAGGCUCCAGGAGAGAGCUCUUCCUUGCCUCUUCCUAGCUUUGGCGGUGGUUGGCAAUGCUUGCUGUUCCUUGGCUUGUAGCCCCUGCCUCAAUCAUCAUGUGGUCUUCUUCCCACUGUGUGUGUCUGUCUUCACAUGGUCUUCUUAGAAAGACGCUGUUACUGGAUUUAGGACCCCUUAUAAUCCAGUCUGAUCUUAUUUUAUUCACAUCUGCAAAGACGCUAUUUUCAAAUAAGGUCACAUUCACAGAUACCAGAAGUUAGGGCUUGAACAUAUCUUUUGGGGAGACAUAAUUCUAUCCAUUAUCAUUAAGACAUUUAGAAAUGGUUGUAGAGAGGGAGAGAAAUGUCCGAGCAUGCCCAGCGCUGUCACGGGCCCAUGGGGACUGGUGAAGAUAAACCAAUAGUGAGAGUAUGCUGCGGCAUCAGCUGCUCUCCCACUUGCUCCUCUCUGCUGACCGGCAUCCUUGGGCAGAGCUGGGGCACCCCAGCCCUCUCCUGCUGCAGGGCAGGUUUCCCUCCCACAAGAACAGAACCUUGUGACCUCUCUUGACUCUUCCUCCCUUCCUGCCUCAGCCUCCAUCUCUGCCUCCCAUUCAGUCCCUUUCUCUGCCCCAAGGUACAUGAAGAACUCUUGAAGACAGGAGCUGCAGAGCUGGCCCCACAGCACCAGAGAUGUCACAGAAGAGCAGAAUUCCAGCCCUCCAUGGCACAUGGGCUACAUCUGCACUAUUUUGUUCAGAGCUCCAAGAAGCAGGUGCAUUGGGAUUUUCACCAAAGAACGAAAGGAAUAAACCCAUCUCCCUAUUUUUAACCCCCCAGAAGAAGCCUUAUUCUCUCCUUUCUGGAAUGUCAGGACCAGUGUCAUUUUGUCCAGGCUGCAUUGACCUCUUUGCUGGACCCCGGGCAUAGGGAGCCCUUGCUGCUUCUCCACCCACCAGUGCUGAGCUCCGGGGGUGUUUGCCUUGCAGGUCCAAGGUGAGAAUGUAAACACUGCAAUUCCUCUGAAAACUGGCUGGAACCUCCUCCAGGGAGGAAGGGUUGCUCAUGGGCUGGCCAGGCUCCCAAACAUCAUACACAGCAACCCGGAGCUCCAACUUAACACAGCUUGGGGCAGGUCCUCAAAUGACCUUCCGUUUCUUGUCUGCCCAUCUGAGAGGACCAUUCCAUUCCAAACAACAUUCCUUUGAUAAAAGUGGUUACACACUGUAAACAUCAAUGAGCCAGGAACAUUCUCCGGUGCAACAGGAUUCUGAUAAAGCAGUCCUAUUUUGCAAAACCUUCCAGUGUGAAACAUCCUCCCCACAGCAAGCAGGGAAAUUCCUGGGAUGCCACAACAUUGGGCAGAGUGUCCAGGGCCCCAGGGAAGGAGCAGAAAGUCUAGAGGUGGAGCUCCCAUUGUGGGCAGAGGGACCUGAGUUUUCAAUCAUCUGUUCAUCAGUCACUCACUCAACAAAUAUUUGCUGAACAUGUCCCAAGCGCCAGGCUCUGAUGGAGUCACUGGAAAUGCAGUGUUUCCACAUGACUGCAAAGCUCCCCUGACUUUCAAAAAGCAGCAAUGAUUUCCUCUCCCCACACAGUCCAGGUUGACAGUCGGGUGCAAUAUCCACACGCCUCUCUACCUCACUCCCUCUGUGAGUCUGGAUGUGUUCUUCUUCCUCUCCAGCCCCCUGGGCCCUCAUUCUGUUGGCUUUUCUGCUGUCACUCUCUGUUCGCAGGUAUCUCUUCUUGAGUCUGUUUCUGGGUCUCUCAGUCUCUAUUCUUCAAGUCUCCCUUUGUGUCACCAAGUGCUUCCCAGCCUAGCCACUCCUCUACCUCUCCAUCAGUCUGCCUUACUUCCAAUCAAUUCAUCCCCAUUUUUUUCUCCUUCCCUCUUCUGUUUCUUCUCCUUAAGUGACUGUUGAUACAGAACUAGAUACAUUUUUCUUAGGUUGGUGGAAUAGACUUUCACAUUCUCUGGUGUUUAGUUCUAAAAUUGAUUGAAAAAUGUUUGUAUUCUUUAGUGUUGUCUGAAUUUCUUAUAAGAGUAUGUGUAAUUCUUUAAAACUGUUUAUUAAAAUACGAUGCCUAUAUUAGUCCAUUUUCAUCCUGCUGUGAAGAAGUUCAUGAGACUGGGUAAUUUAUAAAGAAAAAGAGGUUUAAUGAACUCACCGUUCCACAUGGCUAGGGAGGCCUCACAUUCAUGGCAGAAGGCAAAGGAGAAGCAAAGUCACAUCUUACAUGGCCGCAGGCAAGAGAGUGUGUGCAGGCGAACUGCCCUUUAUAAAACCAUCAGCUCUCGUGAGACUUACUCACUAUCAUGAGAACAGCAUGGAAAAACCCACCCCCAUGAUUCAAUUACCUCCCACCAGGUCCCUCCCAUGACACAUGGGGAUUAUGAGAGCUACCAUUCAAGAAGAGAUUUGGGUGGGGACAAAGCCAAACCAUAUCAAUGCCCGUGAAAAAGUGCCCAUGAAAUGCCAUGCAGAGCUCCAAGAAUCUCACUCACUGAACACACUUGUGUAGCCACAUCUUGGACUAAAACUUGCUUAUGUUGCCUUUCAAUAUUCUCCCCCACAUGCGUCACCACUGCCCUCACUUCUCUCAGCAUGGACUCCUGUCUUUGAUAAAAGACCAAAUCCCUGGUUUUGUAUGUUAUGGAAGUGAAAUGCAGUCAUAUGGAUUAGUUUGUGUCUAGCUUCUACUGUUCAGGACUUCACGCUCUUUGUUGCAUGUAGGCAUGGACUCUUCAUUGUCUUUGUGAGGUGGUGGCCAUUGUGGGGCUAUCCCGCAAUUUCUCUUCAGUUGUUAAUAGGUAUUAGGGUAGUUUCCAUUUGCAGCUGUUACAAAUAGGCUGCUGUUAAAAUUCAUGUAUGUGUCUUUUGAUGGCAUGUAUUACUGUUAUAAUCAGGAAAGAACAAAGAAAACUAUUUCCAUUUGGAAAGAUGGGGAUGGCCAAGUGGGAUGUUUUCAUAAAAGGGCUCUGGAGUACGAGACAGAACACGAGUCUUCCUUCUGGCUUCUCUAUUCUCUAGUUCUACAACUUUAGGCCAAUCAGUUAACCUCAGUGAGUCUCAGUUUUCUUAUCUGUAAAAUAUGAACGGUAAUGCCUGUCAUUGGUAGGCAUUACUACCUCACAGGGUAACUGUAACAAUCAAAUGAGAUGAUGGAUAUGAGGAAAAAAAUUUUUAAGGUGUCAUGCAAAAAAUAAUGACCAGGUGUGGUGACUCAUGCCUAUAAUCCUAAUGCUUUGGGAGGCUUAAGCAAGAGGAUUGCUAGAGCCCGGGAGUUCAAGACUAGCCUGGGAAACAUAGUGAGACCCUGUCUCUACAAAACUAAAAUGAAAUAAAAAUUAGUCAGGCAUGGUGGCAUGCACCUGUAGUCUCAGCUACUUUGGAGGCUGAGGCAGGAUCGCUUGAGUCCAAGAGUUCAAGGUUACAGUGAGCCAUGAUCAUGCAACUGCACUCCAG
rnacentral:lncRNA from 10 species